rnacentral:rRNA from 1 species
CCUACGGGAGGCAGCAGUGGGGGAUAUUGCACAAUGGGGGGAACCCUGAUGCAGCGACGCCGCGUGUGGGAAGACGGUCCUCUGGAUUGUAAACCACUGUCCCCAGGGACGAAAAUGACGGUACCUGGGGAGGAAGCUCCGGCUAACUACGUUCCAGCAGCCGAGGUAAUACGUAGGGAGCGAGCGUUGUCCGGAAUUACUGGGUGUAAAGGGAGCGUAGGCGGGGAUGCAAGUUGGGUGUCAAAACUACCGGCUCAACUGGUAGUCGCACUCAAAACUGGAGCUCUUGAGUGAAGUAGAGGCAGGCGGAAUUCCUAGUGUAGCGGUGAAAUGCGUAGAUAGUAGGAGGAACACCAGUGGCGAAGGCGGCCUGCUGGGCUUUUACUGACGCUGAGGCUCGAAAGUGUGGGGAGCAAACGGGAUUAGAUACCCCGGUAGUC